AAACCAAAUCCCGGUGAAAGGUUGUGGGGCCGUGUUCUAGAGGUCAGGCCGGACCUGGUAAUCUGUAAAACCAAUGAAGUACUUAUGGUGAAGGUUGAUAAUAACCUUGUAACAGUUGAACCUGGAGACAGCAUCACGUACACCUUCCACAGAUAUCAGAGAGAUGGAAAGUUG